rnacentral:misc_RNA from 1 species
AGAAGUAAAAGUCGUAACAAGGUUUCCGUAGGUGAACCUGCGGAAGGAUCAUUAUUGAAUGAAACACUUCUGGCUUUAUGCUGUUGUGCUGGCCCUUUGGGCAAUGUGCACACGGCUCUGGUCACUUGUUUCUUCUGUUCCACCUGUGCACUGCCUGUAGACACGCUGUGUCUAUGAUAUUUGUUAACACACAGCAAUGUUAGUUGGCAUGUUAUAUAUAAUAAUAAAAUAUACAACUUUCAACAACGGAUCUCUUGGCUCUC